CAUCCAUGUUAUUGGAAGCUAUCAGAUAUAUGCAAUGCCAGUUUUUGAUAUGAUUGAAACUGUGUUAGUGAAGAAGAUGAACUUCACACCUACUUUUUGUGUCCGAUUUUUCACUCGUGCCACUUAUGUUUGUGAGUAUAUUCUAUAUAGUGUUUUAAAUUAUUAAAUGUCUAUAUAUUUCUCUACAUAUAUAUAGAGUAAUUAAUAACUAUCAAACAAUAAUAAAAUUACUGUUUUUGUUCAGUAAUGACCAUGGUUGUAGUUGUAGCUAUGGCUAUUCCUUUCUUUGGUGGUCUCCUUGGUUUCUUAGGUGGAUUUGUGUUUGCUCCAACCACAUAUUUUCUUCCAUGUGUUAUGUGGCUUUCUAUCUACAAGCCUAAAAAAUAUAGUUUGUCUUGGAUUGCAAAUUGGUUUUGCAUAAUAUUGUGAGUAACAUUGAUGGUUGUAGCACCUAUUAUUAGGACAAUCAUCAUUUCAGCUAAGAACUACAAAUUUUUUGGUUGAACUUAUUAAUUAUAUUAUAGAUUGUUUUAGUGUGUUAAUAGUUUUCGUUUUCUUUUUUUUUUUUCCUCCCUUUGAAAUUUUAGCUUAUAUUAGAUUAGUUUAUGUUUUGGUAUUUUAUUUAAUUAGUUUGGACAUCAAUUAAGUUUUUUUCUGAGUAAUAAUUUUGGAAGUAUUUUUUUCUCUUA